rnacentral:rRNA from 1 species
GACGAACGCUGGCGGCGUGCUUAACACAUGUAAGUCGAACGAAGAGCUAUGGAAGCUUGCUUCUUUCAAUCUGAGUGGCGAGCAGGUGAGAAACGCGUAAUCCACCCGUCUUUCAGUGGGGGACAUCAGUGGGAAAGGACUGCUAAUAGCGCAUACUAUCUAAACUCGUCGUCGAGUAUAGAUGAACGGUUGUCUCGACAUGUAAGCUAUCACUGGAGGCGGGUAUUGCGUCUGAUUAGCUAGGUGGAUGGGUAACGGCCCACCCAGGCGAAGAAUAGGAGCCGGUCUGAGAGGAUGAACGGCCAAAUUGGGACUGAGACACGGCCCAGAAUCCCUAGGGAAGGAGCAGGGGGGAAUCUUCCGCAAUGGAGGAAAGGCUGAACGAGCCACGCCGGCGGGGUGAUGAAGGCCUUCGGGUUGUAAAGAUCUGUUUAUCGGGACGAAAGGACUUCUUGCGAAUAGUGAGAAGGAUUGACGGUACCGGAACAGAAAGCCACGGCUAACUACGUG